rnacentral:rRNA from 1 species
GUACACUCCUACGGGAGGCAGCAGUGGGGAAUUUUGGACAAUGGGCGAAAGCCUGAUCCAGCCAUGCCGCGUGCAGGAUGAAGGCCUUCGGGUUGUAAACUGCUUUUGUACGGAACGAAACGGCCUUUUCUAAUAAAGAGGGCUAAUGACGGUACCGUAAGAAUAAGCACCGGCUAACUACGUGCCAGCAGCCGCGGUAAUACGUAGGGUGCAAGCGUUAAUCGGAAUUACUGGGCGUAAAGCGUGCGCAGGCGGUUAUGUAAGACAGUUGUGAAAUCCCCGGGCUCAACCUGGGAACUGCAUCUGUGACUGCAUAGCUAGAGUACGGUAGAGGGGGAUGGAAUUCCGCGUGUAGCAGUGAAAUGCGUAGAUAUGCGGAGGAACACCGAUGGCGAAGGCAAUCCCCUGGACCUGUACUGACGCUCAUGCACGAAAGCGUGGGGAGCAAACAGGAUUAGAAACCCUAGUAGUCCCAUGAU